rnacentral:misc_RNA from 1 species
AAUCUCAACCAUUAGGGUUUCUUAAUGGCUUGGAUUUGGACGUUUGCCAGUCAAAUGGCUCGUCUUAAAAGAGUUAGUGAAUUUAACAUUUGUCUUCUGGCGUAAUAAGUUUCGCUGGGCUGAUAGUGUGAAGUUUGCUUCUAAUCGUCCGCAAGGACAAUUCUUGAA